AGAGCGAACGCUGGCGGCGUGCCUAACACAUGCAAGUCGCACGAGAAAGGGACUUCGGUCUUGAGUAAAGUGGCGCACGGGUGAGUAACACGUGAAUUAUCUACCUCCGAAUGGGGAAUAACUGAGAGAAAUCUUAGCUAAUACCGCAUAAUACCUACGGGUCAAAGCAGCAAUGCGUUUGGAGAGGAGUUCGCGGUCGAUUAGUUAGUUGGCGGGGUAAUGGCCCACCAAGACGAUGAUCGAUAUCCGGCCUGAGAGGGCGCACGGACACACUGGAACUGAAACACGGUCCAGACUCCUACGGGAGGCAGCAGUGGGGAAUUUUGCGCAAUGGGGGAAACCCUGACGCAGCAACGCCGCGUGGAGGAUGAAAUAUCUUGGUAUGUAAACUCCUUUCGAUGGGGAAGAUAAUGACGGUACCCAUAGAAGAAGCCCCGGCUAACUUCGUGCCAGCAGCCGC
rnacentral:rRNA from 1 species